UAAAUUGGUACAAACGGCUUCAUUUUCAGAGCCGAGGGCCGAGGCCAUUAACGUAAAGAAGUGAAUCGCAUUUAAGAACGAAUUUGUAUUGAUUAACACAAAUGGAUGAUUUCGAUUUAUUGUUAAUUGUUCUGGUCAACAUGGAAGCACUUUUGGUCCAACGUCGUAGAAACAGAAUCAAUUGUCAUCGCCGUCGACGUGUCUGGGUGCGAGAAAUUAAUACAAGGAUAAGACAGCAAGCAGUUUUCUACAAUCUUUUUCAGGAUGUAAAAACAGAUCGGCAAAUGUUCCAUAAGUAUACACGUGUGACAUUGCCAACAUUUUAGCAUAUGAUGGAUAUUAUUACUCCAAGCUUAAUUAAACAAAGUCCACGAGCACUUGAAUCAGAGCAACGAGUUGCUUUGACAUUAUGAUUUCUGAUUGGAGACAAUGUCCCAGCAAUUGCUUUUGCCUAUCGUGUUGAUAUAUCAACCGUACAUAAAAUAAUUAAAGAAACAUGUGAUGUAUUUGGAAAACUUCUUGGUCCUACCUAUCUACCUCCUUCAAGAGAAGAAUAUUUACAAAUUGCUGAGGGUUUUUGGAAAUUAUGGAAUUUUCCACAUUGCUUGGGGGCAAUUAAUGGUAAACACGUCGAUGCUCAAUGUCCUCUGAAUUCUGGAACGCUAUACUUCAAUUAUCACAAACGAUACAGUAUCGUACUUAUGGCUGUCUGUGAUCACAACUACAAAUUCACUUUGGUUGAUAUCGGUUCUAUGGGGAAGAACAGUGAUGCGGGAAUUUAUGGAAACAGCGACUUGAAUGUGGAGAAUGGGAUGCUGGACAUUCCAGACGGAACCAGUUAUUGAAGCGGAACCGAUAUACAAGUGCCUUAUUUUUUUUAUUGGAGAUGAAGGGUUUCCCAUUGAAAAGCAUUUAAUGCGGCCGUAUUCUGGUAGAUAUCUAGAUUAACACGAAAAUAUAUUCAAUUAUAGACUUUCACGAGCCCGGCGUGUAAUAGACAAUUCAUUUGGAAUAUUAGACAAAAAGUAGGCUAUUUAUAACAGACCAAUCGCUGCGAUUCCUGAGAAUAUUAAUAAAUAUAUUUUGGCAACACACUGUAUGUUUACAUAAUUUCUUACGAACCGAAGAAGGUAAUAUUAUACACUUUGAAAACUAUGUUGAAAUCAUGGAAAAUAACGAAACUGGUGCUACGUUUGUAACGCAUAUUAGAAACAGUUUUUGCAAUUAUUUUGUAACUCCGAAUGGAA